GCGGCAUCGAGUUUACGGGAAUCCGUUCACCAUGGAACAGCUGGAGAAUGAAGAGGAUGAUGAAGGGAGGGCGAGGAUGGAGGCCAGCGGGCGUCUUCCGUGGGUGUAUUCGCGGCUGGCCCAUCGGCGCCGAACUGAAUCAGCAUUCCAGGCCAGAAGCUGUCCGAGCGCGGGAUGAAAGUGCUUUAAAACACUUCCACACGGAGUUCCUCGAAGACGACAACACACGCUCGGAUGUCUCUGCGUUCCCCCGCGCAAAAACUGCAAGUUUCAUCACACCGAAAGUUCAACUGGGUUCAACAUCUGGGUCAUCAGCGACGGGAUUCAAUAAAGGGUCGUUCAAAUUUCGUAGACGA